AAAAAAGAUGGCGGCAUGUACACAAAUGUCAUCAGCGUGUGUCAUUUAACCGAUUUUGAGUUGAUUUGUUGUUUAUAAUUUAUUGAAACAGUUUCUUUUAUGUUCAGCGAUUGCUAUUAGUGUUUUAAAAUCAUCUUAAAGGCUUUUUUUGUAGCUUUGAGUAAAGGGAUCCCAUGUGGCAACUGAUACUUAGAUAUUAAUGAUUGAUGCAAGAAAAUAUUCGGUAUCAGCAGCAAAUUCAUGAUAAAAUCAGAUGAAAGUUGGUGUCAUGUAAAUGUUUGGAAUUCUCUAAGUUUAAACCACCUAUUUGAAUAAGAUUAAUUGUAGUAAAUAAAAUUACAGUAGAAGAUCUUUAUAAUGUAAACUUUAACAUAAGGAUUUGCAUUUUAUGGAAUUUUGUGUUGUAUAGUAACUGUGUAAUAACAAACAAAUUAAUCAAUUGUGGUUUGCCAAGCUUUUUAAAUUUUUACUGCUUAGCAAGUAUUUAAACAAAUAAUGUAAAAAUUGCUUGCUUAGUUAAACUGCAAAUUUCAUUGUUCACACCUACAUAGCUAGUGUGAUUUAUGGUGAAUUGCAGUUUAUAGAAUUACAUUAUAUAUAUCUUCUACUCUGUGUGUUAUUGCUAUAUUAAGGUAGUUAUAAAGUUUUUAUAAUACUUAUUUCCUAGGUUAAUAUGUUCUCAUUUUAUGCAUGAGUUGCAGUUACAAAUUAGCACUUAGUAUAAUAAAAUUUCGUAAACAUAAA